rnacentral:tRNA from 1 species
GCUAUCGAGGCCAAAGUGGUGCGGCGCUUGCAUGGUAAGCAAGUAAUAGUGGGUUCAACUCCCACCGAUAGCU